rnacentral:rRNA from 1 species
CCUACGGGGUGCAGCAGUGAGGAAUAUUGGUCAAUGGACGCAAGUCUGAACCAGCCAUGCCGCGUGCAGGAAGACGGCCCUAUGAGUUGUAAACUGCUUUUGUACGAGGGUAAACGCAGAUACGUGUAUCUUUCUGAAAGUAUCGUACGAAUAAGGAUCGGCUAACUCCGUGCCAGCAGCCGCGGUAAUACGGAGGAUUCAAGCGUUAUCCGGAUUUAUUGGGUUUAAAGGGUGCGUAGGCGGUCGGCUAAGUUAGAGGUGAAAUCCCGAGGCUCAACUUCGGAAUUGCCUCUGAUACUGGUAGGCUAGAGAGUAGUUGCGGUAGGCGGAAUGUAUGGUGUAGCGGUGAAAUGCUUAGAGAUCAUACAGAACACCGAUUGCGAAGGCAGCUCACUGGACUGCAACUGACACUGAGGCUCGAAAGUGUGGGUAUCAAACAGGAUUAGAUACCCGAGUAGUC